UACGUAGGGGGCUAGCGUUGUCCGGAUUUAUUGGGCGUAAAGAGCGUGUAGGCGGCCAGGUAGGUCUGGUGUGAAAACUCGAGGCUUAACCUUGAGAUGUCAUCGGAAACCAUCUGGCUAGAGUCCGGAAGAGGAGAGUGGAAUUCCUGGUGUAGCGGUGAAAUGCGCAGAUAUCAGGAAGAACACCCGUGGCGAAGGCGGCUCUCUGGGACGGUACUGACGCUGAGACGCGAAAGCGUGGGGAGCGAACAGG
rnacentral:rRNA from 1 species